rnacentral:rRNA from 1 species
UACGUAGGGUGCGAGCGUUGUCCGGAAUUAUUGGGCGUAAAGAGCUCGUAGGCGGUGUGUCACGUCGGCCGUGAAAACCUGGGGCUUAACUCUGGGCGUGCGGUCGAUACGAGCAUCACUAGAGUUCGGCAGGGGAGACUGGAAUUCCUGGUGUAGCGGUGAAAUGCGCAGAUAUCAGGAGGAACACCGGUGGCGAAGGCGGGUCUCUGGGCCGAUACUGACGCUGAGGAGCGAAAGCAUGGGUAGCGAACAGG